CAAGACAGUCAUUAUGGUGCAGACCCAGCUGAAAACCAAACCCUGUCGUAUUCUGCUGAAGUUGAACUCGAAGGAAAUGAACCCCUGGCCAUAUUUAAAUUCUGGAGUGUAAACUGUGUUUGCCUAGAAAGACCAAAAACUAGCUGCUUAUAAAAUCUCGACAUCAACCCUUCGCGAGCAUGUAGAGUGGAACCAACAGAGGUCAUGAUGUUUGAAGAGGCAGGAACAUUCCUGAUGAGAAGGGAAGCAAUUAUACAGCAGUUUCCUAACACUGGAGAGGUAGCGGUCGCAGGCCUGUCACACUUCACCGUCAUGCAGAAAAUUGGCCAUGCUCAAGCUGUGAACUCUGGGAACAAAUUUAACCAUAUCAGACAGGUCAGAGUUGUCCGAUUUCCUCACAUCGGCAACCAAGAAAGUGCAUGACUGAAAAUCCUCAUACAAGUCAGCAACAGAAAUUCUUCACAGCGGAAAUUGGAAAUUCUCACAGUGCUGUUUCUGUCCUGGUCGCGAUGGGCAUCCGAGUGGGAUCAGAGAUAACGUGUGCAUGGCUGAGCAGAUGGAACACCUAAAUAUUGCGGCAGCUGAACGGGCUUGUCCAACAUGCAAGCGUGUCACACUUUGCAGGCGUCCCAUGAGCUCGAAGGUAAGUGAAGUCUUGUAAAGUACAAAGUGGAAACAACAUUUGUGG